GUGAUAUUCCCUUCGUCUGGAAAUACUUGUCCUAGAAAUGAAUAAAAUGAAUGUAUUUAUAAUUAAAAUAAGUCUAAAUACAAUCAUUUUAAAGACAAGUAUUUCCAAAUGAAGGGAAUACUUC
rfam:Triticum aestivum genome assembly, contig: Triticum_aestivum_CS42_TGACv1_scaffold_212211_3AS